rnacentral:misc_RNA from 1 species
AACGCACCUUGCGCUCUUUGGUAUUCCGAAGAGCAUGCCUGUUUGAGUAUCAUGAAUCUCUCAAAUCCAAGAAUUUCUUGAAUUUGGACUUGGAAGUUUGUUGGCUUGUCUUUUUUUUUUCAAGUCGACUCUUCUUAAAUAUAUUAGCUGGGGUUUAUAUAGUGGAUCCUUGGUGUGAUAAUUAUCUACGCCUUGAAGUCCCUGUAGACUCUGCUUCAAAUCGUCUCUAACUUUCUUGAGACAAUUUUGAAUCAUUUGAUCUCAAAUCAGGUAGGACUACCCGCUGAACUUAA